AUAACAACGCGCCAACAAAAAGUUGCAGAGGUGGCACACACAUUUCCUAUUCAGGAAUUAGAACCUCUAUCUCAUGAAGAUUGUUGGUCUUUACUCUCA
rnacentral:pre_miRNA from 1 species